GCCCCCAGGAUUUGGGAUCCGGGAGAUAAAGCCCACCCGCUCCACGCUCCCGCCGCCGGGCUGACAACGCGCUCUCGGGGUUUUCCCCGUGAAAGGUUCCUGCGGGAGGUCCCCAAAUUCCGCUCCCGAACCGGUGGCAUCACGUCGGUAUUGGUGGUCAAGUGCAAGGCUCGAGGGGCUGAAUUGAGAGGGGGGGAUGGAUUCGUUGUCAAAAACUGAAGGAGGAAAAGCAGUUCCGCAUUCCCUCCUUCCUUACAGCUUCCAGCAGCCCCUCGGCAGAUCAAAGCACGACCCACAGAUUGAUGCUGGUACCUGUUAGCCUCGGGAGGGGACCAGAGCUGCCCGGCCAUCCAGGCCUAAUCCUGCAAUGACGGCGGAUCAUCUCCCUCCUCUCUCCCGUUCGUGCUUUGGGGUUGAAGUACCUGUGCUCUGCCCCUCUCAUUUUCAAGUGCCCGUGAAAUGAGCUGUGUAUCUACAGAUCAGCGUUUCAGAUAACCUCUGCUAUUAUUUUAUCAAAACUUUCAGAGAUUUUGUAAAAAUUAGUAAUGAUUUUAACUGAAAAGAGUUAAUAAAGUAAGAAACAGUUUAUCCUUCUUUC